UCAUAAGUUACGAGAUCAGGUGAAGCGUAAGAUAUGAUUCUUCUUAGCUUCUUAAUAGGGAAGUUGGUGUAAAUCCAACGCGGUCCCGCCACUGUAAAUGGUAGUGAGCUGAAAAAUUUACCACUGUGCAAUAAAGUACGGGAAGGUGUCAGCAAACUAUGACCAUGAGCCAGGAGACCUGCCUGAUUUUAAGCGCACCA
rnacentral:ncRNA from 2 species